CCUUUAGACAAGUCAGCCAAACAGACUAAUGGCUAUUCAAUAUCCAUUUCAUGGAUAUCUCACAAUGUAUUAAUUCCCCUGCCAUUAGAAAGAUGAGGCAUCUCCCCUUUGUCACCACAAUGAAUAACACUGGAGUGAAUACACUUCAUGCAAAUCUUCAAAACAGAGUAAUUAAGGGUCUAGCUCUCAAGAAAGCUGCCUGGAUUCAAUAACAGCUCUGCAAGCUAACCUAAGACCCUGAGCAAGUUACCUACCCAGCCUCUCCCUACCUCAGUUUCCUCUUCUGACAAAGAGAAGGUUAAAGCAUCUGCCACAUGAGUCAUUAGGAGGCCUAAAUG
rnacentral:lncRNA from 1 species